GACGAACGCUGGCGGCGUGCCUAAUGCAUGCAAGUCGGACGGGUGGCUUCGGCCACCAGUGGCGCACGGCUGAGUAGCACGUGGGAACGUGCCCUCCAGUGGGGGACAACCCGCCGAAAGGCGGGCUAAGCCCGCAUACGGUCACCGCAUUCUGUGGUGAGGAAAACCUUCGGGUGCUGGAGGAGCGGCCCGCGGCCCAUCAGGUAGUUGGUGUGGUAAGAGCGCACCAAGCCAGUGACGGGUAGCUGGUCUGAGAGGACAGACAGCCAGACUGGGACUGAGACACGGCCCAGACUCCUACGGGAGGCAGCAGCAAGGAAUUUUCGGCAAUGGGCGCAAGCCUGACCGAGCAACGCCGCGUGCAGGAUGACGGCCUUCGGGUUGUAAACUGCUUUUCUGAGGGACGAUACUGACGGUACCUUAGGAAUAAGCCCCGGCUAACUCUGUGCCAGCAGCCGCGGUAACAC
rnacentral:rRNA from 1 species